CAAAACAACAACAGCCUUCUAGUGUCUGCCUCUUAUAUUGCAAAUUGUAUAGAAAGAACACAUCAGUAGGAAAAGUAUUUUUAAAUAUCUGUCUAAGACUGAAAAGAUAAAUUUUAUUAUUUGAAUCUUUAACAUAUUCUAUUCAUAUUAUCGAAAUAAAUCAAGUCAGUAGGUUGAAAUAUUUAAAAAUAUCUAGGUGGGUUCACAAAAUGUGAUCAAAGUUGUGAUAAUUGUUACUAAUGAGCCUGUAUCCCUUCAAAUGUUCAACAUAGUUAAUUCUCACCUUAAUGAUUUUUUAAUGCAUUUCUUGUUUAUUCCUUCAAAUUCUGAUAGCUCUCUUUAUUUUAAUAUCAUGACAAAAUAGAUCUUAUAUAUUCUGACCAUUGAAUCUCAUUUUUUUCUUAUUCCUUAAUAUUAUUUUAACUAACACAAAUAAAUUGUUUAUAAUUAUAAUAUUUUUAAAAUAUAAAAUUUAUGAAGAAUUAGAAUUGUCAAGAGUUUAUUUUGAUAUAAAAUUUUACUAUUUUCUGUAUUAAACAACAUUCCUCUAAUAAUCUUAUUGGUAUUUUAAAAACAUUCCAUGACUUUAAUUAUUAAAAUUAUCAUCCAAUUAAAUGUUUAUUGUAUUGUUUAUAGGUAUUCUAUAGUAUUUGUGAAAUUAAUUUGUGGCUUGAAUCAGUGUAUACUUUAUGGCCAUUAUGAUAAUGUCUGAAUGUGUGCCAUCAUUAAAGCCAUAUUUACUUAAUAAUAUUUUAUCUAAGUAUAAAUGUAAUAUAUAUUCAACUUCUUUUGCUUUUUAAUGUAGUAUUAAGUUUUUGUAAUUUCUUAUGUGCAUACAUUUUAUAAUUAUAUUAAAAAAAUUAAAUUUCUUUAACAAUAUAAUGCAAGUGUCUAUGUGAUUUAAUAUCUUUAAUGAUACGUUGUUUAUGUAUUAAAAUCUGUAGUUUAUUAUUGGAUAACCUUUAGCCUUGUUAUUAUCAUAAUAGUUUUGUAAGCGAUUACUCGCUCUGUACAAUCAUUUGAGAAUGAAUGACAAUAUGAGUUUUUUUUUGUAACUUGCCAAUUUUAAGUAAUCACUAAAUACUGCAUAUUAAUGAUUAUUUUGGUAAAUUUGUUAAACAAUAUCAUUAACUCAUAAUCGUGAUAAAUUUAAAAGUUAUGAAACGAAAUUAUAUUUAUAAAAUUAUGUUUAAUUAGAGAUUAUCGGUUAAUACGAUGGCAUUUUACGUUAAUUUUAAUAGCCAUCCUAAAAUUUCGAUUUAUUAGACGUUUUUUCUUAAAAUAAGUCAGAAUUUUGUUUCUACUUUUUUUCUAUACAGCUUAUAUAAGAAAUUAUCUAAUGCUUAAUAUAAUUAAGGUCUCGCCUUAUGUCUAAUGUUUAAAUAAGAGCUGUUCUAAAUGUUUGUGAAUUCUUAUUCUGGAUGCUUCAUCUCUUUUAUUUAAUAAAAUAUUGAGCACAAUGGUUUUGCAUAGAGAAUGUUUAUGGAAAGCAAUGUUUCACCCAGAAUCUAUAUCAUCUGCUCUUAUUUUUUUGACUGUGCCAAAACCAUAUCAUGACUGUAUUCCUUAUGUUUUUUUGGCAAAUUACGCAUUAGCGAGCGGUUUGGUUUGUCUAUAUUAUUUAUUUGUAGAAGUAUCACGCUUUGGCUCACGGAUGUCACACUUAUCUGUCGAAAAUUAUAUGCAAUAUUUAAGUCUUAUGUUUUCAACUAUAUUCCGUAUAGAUCCUAAUAAAAUAUCUCCUAGACGCCAAGCCAACCAUCUCACAAUGCGUAAACAGUUUAUAAACAUCCUUAUAUACGAGUUCCUUUUCAAAUGUAUCGUUAUUUGUACGUUGUUUUGAACGUACCAAAGAUAUUUUUCGAAAAUUGUUGUGUUGAAAAUUAACACAUUUUUAUUUAGCACAGUAGAUUGUAGAUUUUGGAUGUGAUUUUAAUUUUCAAAAGUUACAUUUUCUUAAUUUUGGUUGUGAUUUUUUUUCCACAUUGCGUCUGUCCGUUAGUCGAGGUGUGAAGUGAAAUUAUGGGUUAAAAUCUGUAGUGAUCUUGUGAUUUAGAUUUUAUACUUCUUGUUCUGAACAAUCAAAAUUUAUUAGUAGAUAAUAGAUGUUAGCUCUAUUUUCAAUGUCAAUGUAAAUAAAAUGCCAACUUGUUGAA